AAAAAAUCUAUACUUUUUACUCGUAGGUAGUCGUGGGUGGUCGGAGGCAGUCUAAGGUAAUAGCUCCGGGGUGAAAAAAAGGUCAGUAG